rnacentral:rRNA from 1 species
AACGAACGCUGGCGGCAGGCUUAACACAUGCAAGUCGAGCGCCCCGCAAGGGGAGCGGCAGACGGGUGAGUAACGCGUGGGAAUCUACCUAUCUCUACGGAACAACUCCGGGAAACUGGAGCUAAUACCGUAUACGCCCUACGGGGGAAAGAUUUAUCGGGGAUAGAUGAGCCCGCGUUGGAUUAGCUAGUUGGUGGGGUAAUGGCCUACCAAGGCGACGAUCCAUAGCUGGUCUGAGAGGAUGACCAGCCACACUGGGACUGAGACACGGCCCAGCAGCCUACGGGAGGAAGCAGUGGGAAAUAUUGGACAAUGGGCGCAAGCCUGAACCAGCCAUGCCGCGUGAGUGAUGAAGGCCCUAGGGUUGUAAAGCUCUUUCACCGGUGAAGAUAAUGACGGUAACCGGAGAAGAAGCCCCGGCUAACUUCGUGCCAGCAGCCGCGGUAACAC